rnacentral:lncRNA from 1 species
GACAGCUAUCGGAAGGUGGGUUUUACGCCCCAGGCGAACCAGCAACAACUCCCUACUGUCACAUGCAUAUGCAGGAUAAGAUACCAUAUCGAUAAUGUAAAUGCUAGACAGCUGUCGGAAGGUGGGUUUUACGCCCCAGGCGAACCAGCAACAACUCCCUACUGUCACAUGCAUAUGCAGGAUAAGACACCAUACUGAUCAUGUAAAUGCUGGCCAGUAUCCAGAACA